GGGUUUAUAGCUCAGUCGGGAGAGCGCUUCCUUCACACGGAAGAGGUCAGUGGUUCGAUCCCGCUUAAACCCACCA
rnacentral:tRNA from 1 species